CGCUUCGGUUGAUGGCAUCCAUCUUCCGGGUGGUCCAUUGCAAGUUCUUAGUUUCUCUGCUCAUUCCAACCGAUUUUGUGUGUUUUGCGAAAGAAGUUGUUGAAAGUGCGUGGUGAGGAAGUGUAGAGUGUGUAGUUUUAAGAGCUGAGACAAGAUCAAUUGGUGCUGGUGACUCCUCACAGACUCGACAAUUAUUACACUUGUAAAUUGUGGUAAAGAGCGAUCCUUGACCCACGUGCAAGACCGUAGUCGGUGAUGGCGAGCAUCUAAAGUCCUUUGGAACAAAUAAGUUUGAGCAUUCGUGUGUAGAAGACAUCACGACGAACACCAUUUCAGUGGAUGAACAAGGUUUCGACAAACAAUACAUUUCCAAAGAAAUGCUUCACAAGAUGCAUACCAGAUCCCAAGAGAUGCUUCAAAAUGCAUGGCGAAGCUUAAUUGUUAAAAGUAUCUGAAAUAAAACGAUAUUUGAAAUCUUGGACCGUUGGUCUGUUCAAAUAUUGAACGAUACUUGGCACCAAAACGGUACCACGAGGCGAAAUAAACAGCCCAAUAAUGAGCAGAGGAACUCGAGUAAUUAUUCCAUUCCUGCCAUGGGAAGAUAUUCCCUUUAUGGAGCACUGUAGCGGCCAUAUCCCGUAGUUUUCAUCAAAGUCCUUCACCUGCAACAUUUAGUAUAAAUAUGGCUGCGCCGUCGUGAGUCGAUGAAUGUGCUCCAGCCCGAGCCAGAAUUCCAUGUUUAAACCACCAAAGCCGCCACGGUGUUGAGUCCAGUUUCGGCAAAAAUCAAUCGAACCGUCGCAACUAUGCUGCAUCACAAUCCAUCCACCUCCAAACUUCUCCUGCUCACAAUAGACCUCAAAUGUUAUACUAGCGUUGUUGACGCGUAUGUACUACUUUCGUGAGAUAAUCGGUGGUAUGUUGCUACGUAUGGCGUUGUCGGUGCCUUUUUAAUAGGUGCAUUGGCUGGUGGCAAACUUAUCCGAGAAAUAAUUGAGUGUUUACGAGGCUGCAUCCACGGUGUGAGAAUUCUAGAAGAAGUUGCCACUAUUAACAGAGCAACGCAAAUCAAUAGAAAACAGAUAGUCAACUUCAUUUUGUGAGAAUGAAUCGCUCUAAUCCACAUCGAGUCAAUAGACGGUUGAGUCGGAACUAUGAUUCAAUGCUUUUCCGGAGAAAGGUUUGAAGCUCUGCAGAUAACUUAUCGUGAGAAAGUUUGGGAUACAAACGUGAUGGCGGUUGUGGCAUCCGCCGCCAUCAGUAAAAUCACGGUAAUAGCUACAAUUCGUUUAUUUACUGUUCAUUCAUGUGAUAUUGCAAUGCAUGGAAUGGAAGUAUUUUGAUGAUAAUCGAUUAGUUCUACUUGAAUUGGCCAUCAUGGAUUUGAUGUGCCACUAAACUCGAGCCAAGGCAACCUAGAUAGCAUGCGUGCUUAAGGAGACGUUUUGCUUCUAUAUGAUAAGCAUCCGACGAUCGCCUUGACGACAACUGUUCACAGCUGUUGUCAUGCUCAUAAGACGGCAGUAGUUAUCGGUAGCUUCCGGCUGCCCGAGGUCACUGCUCGGAUGAUAACCGCUACAGUCCAUGUGCCCGUUGGGCCUUGUGGAUCUGGGAAGAGCUGUGACGAAUUUAGACUUAAACAUGAUAAUAGUUCAUCGAGCGCAUUAUGCUGAAGCUGGAAUGAGAUGCUGUAAGGAGAUGCUGUACUUACAUCGAUGGUCGCAUGGUGAUACCGUUGAUACUGCGGACCACACGACCAAGGUUAGUCCGCUCAGAAAACUCUAGAUUCUGAUCUGAACGUGUGUCCCUGGAGUGAGCUCUCCGGGGAGUGAUUGCAAUUCAUCGCCUUGAAAAUGCACUCUGAUAAAACGGGUCAAUCGGGACAAUUCCACCGGAACUACCUUUCGAAAGGUCCUGCCACUUGAGCGUUGAACUCUGCUCAGCACACCAAAAUCGCCUGCGAACACUCGUUCCGAGCCGUGAAGCAGUGGUCAGCGAAAUAAAAGGAAACCACACGCCAGGAGCGAGCCAGGAGAGACGCGCUCAACCUCGCCCCUCUGCAUGUGGAGGUUUGAUUGUAAUUUCCGGUUUUUCCGAUUGGCUGACCGAUGCCGGAAUCCGCUCUAUCCCGGGCCAUUAUUAUUAUUAUUCAUUGCGGUGAAGAGAAGCGGAAUGAAUUUAGAUUUUCGCCAAAGCGCUGCGCUAGCGAACCGUAUUGAAAUUAUUCCAAUUGCCCAUCAUUAAUUCCCGGAUUCCGGCACCAUCAUCGGAAUGCAAGUGGGGAGCUUCAGCUGCCGGGGACUGGUGCUAGUCCGGUUAACUGACCGACAAGCGUGCCAACGGUGAUGAAGAAAUUUUAAUAUUCUUCACGUGGCUGUGGUGCCACUGAUUUCCGGAAGCAUCCCAGGAGAGAGAGAGGAGAGAGAGAGAGAGAGAGAGAGAGAGAGAGAGCGAAAGAAGAGCACCAGGAAUGGUGAACCUGAAGCAUGGCGUGGGGCCGGACGGUUCGGUUUGGAAGUUAAAUUAAAGAUGGGAAAAUCCAACAUCAAAGGCGCACGGCGAACUAAAUGGCAGCAGCAUCGCUACGGGGCUAGGAUGAUGGAAUAAUGGUAGUUGGUUUAAUUUCGUUGAGAUCUGAGCGUUCGCAUGACAAAGGAUGGAAUGCCGUCUCGUCCCGGGACGGGAUUCAAUCCUACAAAUAAAAGCAGUAAAACAUGUUUGCUGUUUCUCCUGCAAACAUCUGCUUAUCGGGUCGAAUGCUAAAUAAUUUAACAGUUUGCAAACCACUGGAAAUGCAAAUGAUUAUAAGUUACGCAAUAAAUAAAAUGAAGAGUGGAGAGAAUGGCUGAAUGUUUCAAAGAAUAUUACAGAAUAAAGAACGAAAUCAAUU